UUGAUCACAAGUUUUCGAGUUUUGUUUGAUUAGGGUUUUAUUGAUCUCCUUCUUCGACCCUUCAACGGUCGCGUCUUCGCUGGUUUUAAUCUGCAAUCAGACGAUUUAUUUUCUCAAUUCUUAACCUCUCUUAUGAUGUUGUUUCCCAAUCAGCCAAUUCAUUCUAGACUGCGCCGGCCGUGCCGCAGCACCUUAACCACCAUAAUCUGAAGGUCCAGGCGGUGGUGGAGCUCCGUAAGGCUUCUCCUUUGUCAGCAUGUAGUCCCCUGAUGUAGCAGGCGCGGAAAGAGAAGAAGGAGGAAGUGCGCCGUGGGGCACCGUACGGCGGAUUGUUUCUGCUGAAGGAGUAAGGUGGCGGUUGAUUUCCACCACCGUAGCCCGCUGGAAACGAAAAGGUAAACACUUUGCAAAAGAGAUCGAAAAAAGAAUGAGUUGACAAUAAAGGUCUGUUUCUUUUAGUUUCUGAUAUGUUUUAGGAAAAAGAAACCAAGAAAGAAGCUUUCAGGAAUUAUUUAGAGUUCGGUGGAGUUAGGGGCUUUUAGGAAGUAUUUGUUAUUGAUUCUCUCACCAAAGAAUGACAAGUCUUCCUUCCUGUACUUUGUUUCUAACCAAUAUGUACCCAGAUUCAUUCAGCAAAAUCUAGGAGGUCUUUCAGUUUCUGAUUACGAGAAGCUUCAAGCUGAGAAGUCUAAUCUUCAAAUAAAGUAUAUGAGCUAUU